ensembl:lncRNA uncharacterized LOC115163616
CGGCAAGCAAUGAGUGUCUAAUAAAAUGCUGCUCGCUUCUCUGGCUGUUGCUCUCUCUCUCUUUCUCCUAUUUGCCUUUCUCUUUCUCUGUUUUAUUUCUUUUCCUCUGUCUGUCUUGCCAACCUACGUAGCACAGCAUGCUCAACAUCAGCAUAGGGAGAUAGAUAGAACAGCAAAAGUGAGGCAGAAGAAAAGGACAGAAAUAUGUCUAGCUCUAACAUCUCACUCCGUGUGAAUGCAGCCUGCUGUGUCAUCCGUCAUCCAUCUGUGUGGGAGACAUCUUUGAUCUGUCAAAGAAGAGGAUCUUUGAUUUACCAGAGUUGGAUAUCUUUGUGACCUGUUGAGGAAACAUCUCUUUUGAAAUCUACUAGAAAAGGAUAUCAUUGUACAGUGGGGGAUCUCUCCUCAUUGUGUAUUUCUAAGGAGGAUAGGAGAGCGUGUGUCCUUUGUGUUGGCCAAGGCAAGGCUCUCGGAAUACUGUAAUGGUUAAAGACUUCAUUCAGGGAUGGCCCCCUUACUACUGAAUUGUCGACCUUUGCUUUGGUGAAGGCAAAAAAAUGAUGACAAAUGUGAUAUGAUAUUGAGCUAUAAAUGCAUUCAACUCAACUUUUCAUCUGCCAAUAAUGCGUAGGACACCACCCCGUCUUGACGGAACACAACAAAAGAACGCCAAGCAGCAGGGUGAGGAAGAAGAGGAGGGAAAAGAGGCGGAACAAGAAGAGGAAGAGAAGGGAGAAGAGGAGGGACAUCAUGAUUUGGCUAAAUCUUCUCUAUGCCCGUCCUGUAGGCGUGGUUUUGAUGUUGCCCUUCUCCUACCAUGCUCCCAUACCCUGUGUGGGCGCUGUGUAGGAGGUGGAGAGGGGGCAGGGCGAUGUGGAGAGGGGGCAGGGCAAUGUGUACUGGAUGAGGAAGGGGACGGUGUGUGCCAUGCUUCCCGUGGUGGCACCUGUUCUGCCCACCACCGCUCUACCAGUACACCUGUGUGUGCCGUGCUGUGCCCUUGCUGUCGUCACCCUGUGGAGCUGCCAUGCUGGGAGUGGGCUUCUGCCACCUGUUGCCUGCCCCCUGACCCCACCCUGACCCCUGGGUGGACAGCCAGUAGUGCUGGGGACCAGGCGGAAGGAGGGAUGAAGGCCUUCUCACAGAGGAAUCCAUUCGGCAGAGACAAAGAGGAUGUCACGGACCAGAUCACUGCUGCAUAUGGCUCACCACUGGAGGGUACUAUAGACCUGCGAGAGGAGGAGAUGGAACAGUCUGUCUCAGGUCUGACAUUCACCCUGGACCCCUCUGCUGCUGCUCCCUCCCUCCAUCUCUCCACCUCUUCUCUCACUGUGACCUUCCAUGGACCAAGCCCUCCACCACUACCCUCUCGCCAUCAUGGAAACAGGGUGACAGGGUCAGUAACGAACACUGAAUCCCAGGAGUCUGCCCCCCAGCCCCUCCCUCAGGUGUGUGGGGACGUGGUCAUCGUCAGGGGUCAGUUCUACUGGGAGGUGGACGUCUGCAACAGCACCCUCUACAGGAUAGGAGUGAGCUCAUUGGACGAUGCUUGCGGCUGGUGGCUGGAAAGGCGGGGCUUGUCCUUCUCCACUGUGUACGAUAGCCGUCGGGAGCCCUUACAUGCCGUGCCACCCCAGAUCAAGACCCUAGGGCUGUUCCUCAACAUGGGUGGAGGGGCGCUGAGCUUCCACAACCCUCUGACCCAGGAGCACCUGGCCACCCUACCCACUCGCUUCAGCCAUGCUGGGGUACGUCCCGCUCUGGGGCUGGGCCAGGGCAGGCUGAGGCUCCACUGUGGCCUACCCCCUCCACCUCACGUCUUUCUCAGCCGAGCAUCCGACUAUAGAGGGCCUACUGGAGCUGGUGGGGGUCGCUGGCGCAGAGACAUGCCCUUCCGAUCUGUACGGAUGGUCAUCCAGAAGUUUGAGGAGCUGGCGGUGUCAGAUUCGGACUCAGGGCUGGUGUCCAGUUUUGGGUCAUCCUGCUCCACUCUGGCCGAACCAGGCCCAGGCCUCAGCUUCAGCCUCAGCCCAGGAGCAGCUCUCCAUUCUGGGAAAGAGGGGAAGGAGGCUGGGGCAGAGUGACAUAUGGAGGACAGAGUAUAGUACCUUGUACAAUGAAGGGCCUCUACCCUGCUGGUGAUAGGAGCAAACUGCUACCACAUCACACUGUCACAUCAUCACAUUGCAAAUAGGUUGUCACAAGGUUGGUCAUGACAAUGUGUGACAAAUUUGGGAUAAACUUGUGAGAUGGAAGGACCAUUCUUCUGCUGUAUGAUGGGAGAAAAGUGAAUAACACACCAACUCUUUGGGAUGAGUUUGAUCUUUGGACGACCAUUUCCAUGUCUAAUUUCCCAUCUCUGAAGAACUCUCUGUGACUUCUCCCCAGGAUGCUGGGCUUCCUCUCAGCUACAUAACCCCUGGAGGUUUGGGGCUGGGCCAGCGCUGUUUGUGGGGGUGUUAGGAGGAUGUCUCACUGGGGGUCCCACACUCUGGUGUGGGGGUUGAUUGUAGGACAGUAGGGUUGAUACGGAUGGUGGUGGUGUGUGUGUGUGUGAGGAUGUGAGGCGUGGGAGUCAGUGGCGGUAACACUACCAGUGUUGACUCAGGGUCACAAAGACAGGUGGUUACGUAUGUUUAUCCCGCAGGACGUGUGUGUGUGUGUGUGUAUGUGUGUGUGUGUGUGUGUGUGUGUGUGUGUGAGAGAUGGUUGGAGCAUGAAUAAGUCAGAAAUGUUAGAUUGUUUGUCCACUUGAUUGUGAUAUUCAAUCCUACUGCAACAUUAUUUGUCUGGUCAUCUGAACCAGGAAGUAGUAUUAAAGAGAGAUUUCCCUCUGUCCCAUCCUGUCUCUCCAUGAUUUCUCUUUUCUCUUGUUCUGAUUUAGAUUAGAUUUUAGAUUUUAGUCAUUUAGCAGACGCUCUUAUCCAGAGCGACUUACAGUAGUGAAUGCAUACAUUUCAUUUCAUACAUUUUUUUUUCUGUGCUGC